UACGUAGGGGGCAAGCGUUGUCCGGAUUUAUUGGGCGUAAAGAGCGUGUAGGCGGCCAGACAGGUCCGUUGUGAAAACUCGAGGCUCAACCUCGAGAUGUCGAUGGAAACCGUCUGGCUAGAGUCCGGAAGAGGAGUGUGGAAUUCCUGGUGUAGCGGUGAAGUGCGCAGAUAUCAGGAAGAACACCUAUGGCGAAGGCAGCACUCUGGGACGGUACUGACGCUGAGACGCGAAAGCGUGGGGAGCGAACAGG
rnacentral:rRNA from 1 species